rnacentral:rRNA from 1 species
AACUGUGUGCGGUGGAUCACUUGGCUGGUGCGUCGAUGAGGAGUACAGCCA